rnacentral:rRNA from 1 species
UACGUAGGGGGCAAGCGUUGUCCGGAAUUAUUGGGCGUAAAGCGCGCGCAGGCGGUCCUUUAAGUCUGAUGUGAAAGCCCGGGGCUCACCCCCGGAAGGGCAUUGGAAACUGGCGGACUCGAGUCUCGGAGAGGAAGGUGGAAUUCCUGGUGUAGCGGUGAAAUGCGUAGAUAUCAGGAGGAAUACCGGUGGCGAAGGCGGCCUUCUGGACGAUGACUGACGCUGAGACGCGAAAGCGUGGGGAGCAAACAGG